GACUCUCCCUUCUGCAAGUCGGGAGAGAGGAUAAGAUAUAUUUAUGACGGUCAAAAGGUGAGAAAGCCUCGUACGCGCGUUUCACAUCUUUCGCACAACUGAACACAAAGGACGGGUUACACGCUGGACAAUUCUGAAGAAAAAAAAAAAAACUCUCAGUGACAUUAGGACAUCACUGGACAAAUGGUGACAGUGGUUCCAAUGGCGAUGAGGAAACGCUGACAUCUGUCAAUGCACAGAGGAUGCAUUCGAAACAACUGGUUUAAAAAAAAAAAAAAGCUAAAUCUUUAAUGACAGACGUUACUCGUGCACCAUGUAUCACCAAAGCAAGGCAAGUGGGAACCAUCCCUCCCUCCUUGUUCUGUAUCCUGUCUGCAUAGGAUAACAACACUUUGGAGCCAGACUGCCAUCCCCUCCAACACUGGGCUGGAGCGAGCUGCAAGGACAAAAGAACAAAAACCAUCACCUGAAACAAACUGUACAUUUUAUAAGUACUCCGAUCCUGAUGGUCUUUUUGUCUGCACAUGGUGUUCACGUGAUUAUUGGCCCAGCUGUUUGAUCCAACAGAUACCGGAAGCACACUCACCAAGUUUACAUGUUUACACUACAGUUAAGAUGUUGGCAUAAGGUAAGGAAGAACAUAUGAAAAAUAAAAAUAAAAAGGCAUUUUAAGGAUUCCGAUAUCUUCUUAUUACAUCAUUUUGUGCCGGAAUGGUAAAGUGGAG
ensembl:lncRNA